GCCAGUUUGGCUCAGUGGAUAGGGCAUUGGCCUGUGGACUCAAGGGUCCCAGGUUCUAUUCCUGAUGAGGGCA
rnacentral:tRNA from 1 species